rnacentral:lncRNA from 1 species
CUCCUCUUCUGCCCAAAGGCAGACGGUGUAUAUCAGGAGCUUUGUGGAACCCUCCUCCACGGUCACCCACUAGUUAAUUCAAUUACUUCUCAGAUUUUGAGCACAACCUUAUGUGACUUGACGUCACUGAGUAGCCCCUCUUCCUAGGUCGGUACUCAUCUGCUCCCUUUUUGGAUCUCUCCCUGGAACCUCCUGGGUAGGAGGGUCUCACCCACUUCCGCCUUUGAGCAGCCAUGAAAACUUGAUGGGACGUUCUUGCUGGUCGUUGGGGGUCCUGGAUUCCGGAUGAGACCCCAUAAACUUCAUGAGACGAUAUUAUUUAAAGAUAACAGAAGCCAUUUGCGUGAACAGAGACUGAAGCAGAUCCAAGAAAACAAUGACUACAACAAUGUGAUGUCAAUUCAUGAACUUGACAACAGAGGAUCAUGACAAAGUCCAUUCGUUGAAAAACAAAAAAGCAUUGGAGCUUUAUCUUGAAGAACUAUACUGUAUCCUAAUACUUAAAAUGGUAUUCAGUUACUCAGUCACCUCUGACAUAAAUAAUUC